rnacentral:sRNA from 1 species
AUAAUAAUAUAAUUAUAUAAUCUUAAAUACUAAACAAAAUUAACAAUAUUAAAAAAAAACACUUAAAACUUUAAUUUUUUUAAAACACAUUUCGAUUCUUUUAUAAGAUUUUUCUCGCAGUACUACCACGGGUGAAAUCCUAGAAUUGACGGGUUUGAAUCGAUAUUAAUAUGGGAUGGUGUACUACGGAUGAUAUUUUAGAAUUGACUGGUUUAGGUUGAUAAUAAUUUGCGAUAGAAUUAGGAGUGAAAUCCUAGAAUGACAAUUAAAAUAUAAUUACACAAUUAAAUACUACCACAGGUGAAAUCUUAAAAUUGACGGGCUUGAUUCGAUAUUAAUAUGGGAUGGUGUACUACGAGUGAAAUUUUAGAAUUGACUGGUUUGGGUUGAUAAUAAUUUGCGGUAGAACUAGAAGUGAAAUCCUGGAAUGACAAUCAAGUUAUUAUUAUACAAUUAAAUACUAACACGGGUGAAAUCCUAGAAUUGACGGGUUUGAUUCGAUAUUAAUAUGGGAUGGUGUACUACGGGUGAAAUCCGAGAAACAACAAUCAAAAUACAAUUAUACAAUAUUAAACAUUUAACAAAAUAAACAAAUACAACUGAAAACUUUAAAAUUUGAGUUAUAAAAUUUCGUCUUGCGAUGAAUUAUACAUUUAAAUCAAACAAUAGCAUAAAUUUAUUAAAUCAUCCUAAAAAAGAUUCAAUUAUUUUUUAUUUAAUGAAAAUAUAGGCCCGCGGUAUACCGCAUGUUAAUAUCUAGUUAUACU